GGGGCUGAUUCUGGAUUCGACGGGAUUCGCGAAACCCAAGGUGCAUGCCGAGGUGCGGUGGCCUCGUAAAAAACCGCAAAAAAAUAGUCGCAAACGACGAAAACUACGCACUAGCAGCUUAAUACCCUGCUUAGAGCCCUCUCUCCCUAGCCUCCGCUCUUAGGACGGGGAUCAAGAGAGGUCAAACCUAAAAGAGCUCGUGUGGAAACCUUGCCUGGGGUGGAAGCAUUAAAACUAAUCAGGAUAGUUUGUCAGUGGCGUGUCCAUCCGCAGCUGGCCGGCGAAUGUAAUGAUUGGACUAAGCAUGUAGUACCGACGGUGUAGUAAUUUCGGACGGGGGUUCAAAUCCCCCCAGCUCCACCA
rnacentral:tmRNA from 2 species